rnacentral:lncRNA from 1 species
GCGCGCGCGCCCCCUCCGUGCCCGCUCAGCCUCGCGCGCGUCUCGGGGGAGGCUCCGCCGCCAGGCGUCCGGGGAGCCCGCAGCCUCAGUCCUGCCGCCGGCAGAGCUUUGUGUGGCGGCGGCGGCUCGGAGUCCCACCUGCUGGCGGCUAAGAGACAAGGAAGGGGAAGAAGGAGGAGGAGGAGGGGACGGAGGCGGCGGCGCGAGCCUACUCUCGCCGCCCACACCCACCUCCCGGGGGCUCCGCAGUCCGGCUUUCGGCCUGCAAGCGCCCCCCGCCCCCGGCCCGGCCUCCCGGCCACACCGCAGCCGCAGCCCCUUCUGCCCGGCCCGGCCCGGCCGCCGCCACCCGUAGCCGCCGGCGAGUUUGAGACGAGCGCGGGGCGCGCGGCGCCGCCUCGAUGCGUCCGGGAGCCGCCUCGGCGCCCCAGCCCCGGUGAACAGCCCCGAGCGCGCCGCGGCCGGCCCGGGAAGGCGAGCGGGGAGGCGCGGCCAGCCCCGGAGACGAGGAGGAGCGAGCCCGAGAUCGAGCGCAGGGAGCAGACACCAUGCCGGGCUGGAAGAAGAAUAUCCCCAUCUGCUUGCAGGCGGAAGAGCAGGAAAGAGGUGAGCUGGACGACGGGGCGGGGAGGGCCGGGAGGGGGUCCGGGCCGGGGGCCGCCCCGGUGCCUCCCUCUCCCCGGGCUCCCCCCGCCCGACCUGUCGGCGGCCGACGGGGGAGGGGCGCCGCGCCCUCGGGGGCCGCGGGCGAGUCUGGGCGGCGGCGUGCGAACUCUAGAUUUAUUUGGGGGGGAGGGGAAAGAAGGAAGGUGCUGCAUCAGGGAACUUUUCGCUUGGGCAAAGAUUUUUCUGGAGAGGACGUGGGGGAACUCUAGCUACUCCUGGGCCCGCUUACACGUGGAGCCCCGGACGGCCUCUUGCUGGGUGGGUGCUAGGGGUGACCGGGGGUCCUGCAGUGCUUUAAGUGACUUUUCAAACUUUCCUCCUCCUCUGGCGGCCGCCUCCGGGGUGUCCCCCAUCUCUGGCUGGGCUUUGAUGGUGCUGCCAAGCUCAAAGUUGCAGGGGAAUCUGCGAGGAGAAGGAGGAGGAGGAGGAAGAGCCUGGGGGCGGAAAGCGGGCGCUGCCGCAGGUCUAGGGAGGGGGAGGGGAGAAGGAGAAAAGAUGUCUUUAGGCUGGGGGUCGUGGGCCGGGAGUGAGCCCUCGGAGAUGAGUCCCGCCCCAGCGCAGUCCCCGCUGUCAAGUUAA